AGAGUUUGAUCAUGGCUCAGAUUGAACGCUGGCGGUAUGCUUAACACAUGCAAGUCGAACGGUAACAGGCCGUUCGGGCGCUGACGAGUGGCGGACGGGUGAGUAACGCGUAGGAAUCUGCCUCAUAGUGGGGGACAACGUGGGAAACUCACGCUAAUACCGCAUACGCCCUACGGGGAAAGCGGGGGAUCUUCGGACCUCGCGCUAUGAGAUGAGCCUGCGUUAGAUUAGCUAGUUGGUAGGGUAAAGGCCUACCAAGGCGACGAUCUAUAGCUGGUCUGAGAGGACGAUCAGCCACACUGGGACUGAGACACGGCCCAGACUCCUACGGGAGGCAGCAGUGGGGAAUACUGGACAAUGGGCGCAAGCCUGAUCCAGCAAUACCGCGUGUGUGAAGAAGGCCUUAGGGUUGUAAAGCACUUUCAAUUGGGAGGAAAACCUGCCGGUCAAUACCCGGUAGCUUGACAUUACCUUUAGAAGAAGCACCGGCUAACUCCGUG
rnacentral:rRNA from 1 species